rnacentral:rRNA from 1 species
UGCCUAACACAUGCAAGUCGAACGUGAAAGGGGGCAACCCUGAGUAAAGUGGCGUACGGGUGAGUAACGCGUAGGUAAUCUACCCUAGAGUUUGGAAUAACCUGCCGAAAGGCGGGCUAAUACUGGAUAGAGCGAGGGACACGUAAGAGUGACUCUCGGGAAAGGUGGCCUGAAAGGGCUAUCGCUGUAGGAUGAGCCUGCGUCCCAUUAGCUAGUUGGUGAGGUAAAGGCUUACCAAGGCAGUGAUGGGUAGCUGGUUUGAGAGGAUGAUCAGCCACACUGGAACUGAAACACGGUCCAGACUCCUACGGGAGGCAGCAGUGGGGAAUCUUGCGCAAUGGAGGAAACUCUGACGCAGCCCCGCCGCGUGAGUGAAGAAGGCCUUCGGGUUGUAAAGCUG